GGAUUUUAAAGCUAAGGUUAUUUUUAAAUAGCAGGGAUUAUUUGUAAAUAUUUUAUUAAAGAGUGCGGGGAUUCGUCUCGGGACCACUCUAAUGGUUAAUGGCCUAAUUGUGUGGCGGACUCUAGUGGUAAUUUUGUUCAUUGAAGAUUGUCAUUUUUUGAGUAAGAUCAAGAUUUUUAAAUGAAAUUAUGGUGUCUUAUUUAUUAUUUAUUUAUGCGAUACGACUGAAUAGCUAAAUGUUUUAAAAUAAUAAUAAAUACGUGGAGAUACUUAAGUAUAAAUACUAUAUUAUAAAUAUAUUACAGUUGUCGAUAU